CAUUUUGUGCCCUCCCCGCCUCCAAAUUGCCUCAGUUACAAAUCAGAAGGCAGGCUUGGUGACCAGGACUGGCAAGCACAUUUUAAAGUCCCAUGCUGUGGAGUUGAUCCAUCUCAACUUGAGAAGAGGCAGAAGUGGAUGUGAGAGAAAGAGACACACAGAGAGACAGAGAGCCAAAGAGGGCAAGAGACUUGACUUUAAGAGACUCCUGUACUGACAACUCCAUGCACUUCGGAACCAGAACGACUGCGGCUGGACCAGGGUUCAUGGGGACAUGGCAAAACGCUGAUACUAACCUCUUAUUCAGAAUGUCCCAACAAGCCUGUCACCCUGGCUACUAAAGAAUCCUCAGACUUCAGUGGUUGGCUUACCAACUGCAGUCUUCAGUUUGGUAUUUAGUGCCAAGAAGGAAAGUGAUCAUUUCACAUCCAUUGAUUGGUUCUCGAUUCCAGGCUGCACUGUAAAUAAUACUGACAUCACAAUGGUUCUUCAUCCUGACUGCUACAGAAUCCUCGAACUUCAGUAGCUUGA